AUAAAAUUAAUUAAAAAUUAAAAAAAGUUGAAAAUACUUAAAAAUAUGCAAAUAAAAAAAAUUUAACUAUACUAAAAAUUUUCAAAUGUUGAAAAAAACUUAAACAAAAUAAUAAAAAAUAUUUAAAAAUUUAUUUAAAAAAUUAUAAAAUUAAUUAUAAAAUUAAUUGGGUCAAAAAUUACGUGGUUUUUACUGUUAAAAUGUUGCCAUAAAUUACAUUUCAAUGUAUAAUUCCAAAUCAAGUGUCAGCUUAAAGUUCCUCAAAAUCACUCAUACGCCCUGGUGCACCAACACUUGCUUGCAUAGAUAUAUGCUGUUCCGUAAACACGCUGUGAGCAGACAGUAAAGAGCAACAGCAGCGUAGCAUGUGAGCAUGCUGGGCAGCUAAACAACCCUAUAAGCAAACGCUUCCUUCCAGCAACACACACCCGCAGCAGGCAGGCCAGGGUGUACUGUGGUAUAUACUGUUUAAGUACCAUAUGUAAACAGAGUAUAUUUGAUUGUUGGAGCUAAAGUAAAAAUAUUGUUGUUGUUGUAUUUUUUGUUGCGCAGCAGUGCUGAAAAUAUGAACGGGCACUUUUGAGUUAAAAAAAUUUUUCAAAAUAAAAAUAUUUGAAAAAAAAAUUUAAAAAAAUUAAAUAAAAUAUUAUUAUUAAAAAAUGGAAAUAUUAUUAUUAAAAUAAAAAUAUUAUUAAAAAAAAAAAUUUAAAUCAAAUAAAAAGUUAUCAAGUGUGAAAUGAAGUUGUGAAAAAGUGUAGCAAAAGUGAAGAAAAUAAUAUUUAAGAUAACUAAAAAAACCCAAAAGUCACAAAAAUUGCGCCACAAGCAUUUAUGCUGUAGCUUUUAAAGUAGUCUACAAGUCGGCGCUAAGCCCUAACGGUAAAUCCAUCAGCGCAAUUUGAGGACCAGUAGAGGAAGCAGCAAACUUCCGCCGUCAGCAGCUUGGCGUGACGCAGAAAGAAAACAAAAAAUCCCCAAAAAUAAUAACAAAAACAAAAAAAAAAAAACAACAAAAGAAACCAAAAACAAAAUAAAUAAAUAAAAUAAACAUAACAAUCUUUCAACAUCACUGGCUGCUGCUCCAUUCAACACAUAGAAAAAAAAAAAAUAUAAUAUAAUACUAAAUAACAACAACAUUACCCGCAAGCAUCAAACGGCGUAACAAAAAAGCCAAAGCAGCAACGAAAAAGUUUUUCAACUGUUAAAAAGUUUCAGCAUACGUUCCAACGUUUUACGAAAAGAUAUGACAUGUGAUGGUGUUGUAACAUUUUGGAUAUUUUUACUGCUUUCAUUAAUUUUACACAACGCCGAUUUAACGAACGGCGGCCGACCCGAUGAACUGCAUAUAGGCGGUAUAUUUCCGAUUGCCGGCACCGGAGGAUGGCAGGGCGGACAGGCGUGCAUGCCAGCUGCAAGACUGGCAUUGGAUGAUGUCAAUAAGGAGCCGAAUUUGUUGCCCGGCUUCAAGCUCAUACUGCACAGCAAUGAUAGUGAGUGUGAACCCGGCUUGGGCGCUAGCGUUAUGUACAAUCUACUCUAUAAUAGACCACAAAAAUUAAUGUUACUAGCCGGCUGCAGCACAGUCUGCACCACCGUGGCAGAGGCGGCGAAAAUGUGGAACUUAAUAGUGCUCUGCUAUGGUGCCUCGAGUCCGGCACUCUCGGAUCGCAGUCGCUUUCCAACACUAUUUCGCACACAUCCCUCCGCAACGGUACACAAUCCGACACGUAUAAAAUUAAUGAAAAAAUUCGGUUGGUCACGUGUGGCCAUACUGCAGCAGGCCGAGGAGGUCUUCAUAUCGACCGUUGAAGAUCUCGAAAAUCGUUGCAUGGAAGCGGGCGUCGAAAUCGUCACAAGACAAUCAUUUCUAUCCGAUCCAACAGAUGCGGUACGCAACCUACGCCGACAAGAUGCUCGCAUCAUAGUCGGUCUAUUCUAUGUCGUAGCCGCGCGACGUGUGCUCUGCGAAAUGUACAAACAACAACUGUAUGGACGAGCGCAUGUGUGGUUUUUUAUUGGCUGGUACGAGGACAAUUGGUACGAGGUGAACUUGGAAAAUGAGGGUAUCACUUGCACGAUAGAACAGAUGCGCAUUGCGGCCGAAGGACAUCUGACAACGGAAGCGCUUAUGUGGAAUCAGAACAAUCAAACGACAAUUUCCGGCAUGACAGCUGAGGAAUUUCGGCAACGACUGAAUCAUGCGCUUAUCGAAGAAGGUUACGACAUCAAUCAUGAUCGCUAUCCGGAGGGCUAUCAAGAGGCGCCGCUGGCCUACGAUGCUGUCUGGAGUGUGGCGCUGGCAUUCAAUAAGACAAUGGAACGCCUCAAGCAACGACAGAAAUCCUUACGAGAUUUUACAUACACAGACAAGGAAAUUGCCGAUGAAAUUUAUGCGGCGAUGAAUUCUACACAGUUCCUUGGCAUAUCGGGCGUCGUUGCAUUCAGCUCGCAAGGUGAUCGUAUUGCCUUAACCCAGAUCGAACAAAUGGUGAAUGGAAAAUAUGAAAAAUUGGGUUAUUACGAUACGCAAUUGGAUAAUUUAACGUGGUUAAAUAUGGAGCAGUGGAGUGGUGGAAAAGUACCUCAGGAUCGCACAAUUGUACGUCGCGUCUUACGCACAGUAUCGCUGCCAUUAUUUGUCUGCAUGUGUACAAUUUCAAGUUGUGGUAUAUUAGUAGCCUUAGCACUCAUUGUAUUCAACAUAUGGAAUAAGCAUAGGAGAGUCAUACAAUCAUCACAUCCUGUAUGUAAUACCAUAAUGCUCUUUGGAGUCAUCAUAUGUCUGGCAUCAGUCAUACUCUUGGGUAUGGAUGGGCGAUUUGUCAGUCCACAAGAGUAUCCAAAAAUAUGUCAAGCGCGCGCUUGGCUUCUAACCACCGGUUUUACAUUAGCCUAUGGUGCUAUGUUCAGCAAAGUCUGGCGUGUGCAUCGUUUUACAACAAAAGCAAAAACUGAUCCAAAAAAAAAAGUCGAACCAUGGAAGCUUUACACCAUGGUCUCCGGCCUGUUGUCUGUAGAUUUAGUUAUACUAUUCGCCUGGCAGAUUUUUGAUCCGUUACAGCGUAUACUUGAAACAUUCCCACUCGAAGACCCUGUAUUAACAUCCGAUGAUAUAAAAAUUCGUCCAGAACUGGAACAUUGUGAAAGUCAUCACAAUUCAAUGUGGUUAGGCCUCGUUUACGGCUUCAAGGGCCUAAUACUCGUGUUUGGCCUCUUUCUGGCCUACGAAACGCGUUCGAUUAAGGUGAAGCAAAUCAAUGAUUCCCGCUAUGUAGGCAUGAGCAUUUACAAUGUGGUUGUGCUGUGCUUAAUCACAGCGCCUGUGGGCAUGGUCAUCGCAUCGCAACAGGAUGCCUCAUUUGCAUUUGUUGCAUUGGCUGUGAUAUUUUGUUGUUUCCUAAGUAUGUUGCUGAUAUUUGUGCCAAAGGUCAUUGAAGUGAUACGCCAUCCAAAGGACAAAGCUGAAUCAAAGUACAAUCCCGACUCUGGUAUAUCGAAAGAGGAUGAGGAGCGUUAUCAGAAAUUGGUUACUGAAAACGAGGAACUACAACGACUGAUAUCACAGAAGGAGGAGAAGAUCCGCAUACUCAAGCAACGCCUAGUCGAUUGGGAGGCCACGCAUAAGGGCGGCGAGCUGAACGGCAGCAACGGCACAAACGGCAUUUCCAUGGGCGGCAUUGCCACACAUCAUCAGCCCGUGGCGAGCGUCAAUUCCUUAAGCGGUGGCAUGAGUGCAACGCUAAUGGGUGGUGGUGGUGGCGGCGGCAAUGCCGGCUCCGGCUCGGGUUCCACCAACAAUUCACUCAAUCUACAAGCAACGACGUCCUCCUCACAGCACAACACACCUGCCGCCACAUUAGCGAUAACACAAGGUAAUUGCCAACACAAGUCAAUCGCACAUAGUGCGAGCACUAGCUGUCAAUUUGGUAAAUAUAACAACAACAACAAUAAUAGCAUGAGUAAUAAAAAUCGCAUGUUGCUAAACACAUCAAUGUCGGAAAUGAAUUUCAUAGCUUUCAAUUGCAAAGCUAUCAAGCGCGACUCACUGGUUUGGCUGGCCCACGAUGUCGAUACGACGAACUCGACGCCGUUAAGCAAGCACGAUGAUGCCAUAGGCUUGUGCGCCAGCGGUAAUUACACACAGCUGCGACGCGCAACGCGCAAGAGCCCAACCAUGGCUUUGGAGUCCUGCGAUAAUUACCUUUGAGUGUGGGUCGUGCAGGCAGGUCUAUUGAUAUAGCCGUGGGCGGCACAAGUGGGUGUUUGAGAAUUUUGAUACCCAUGAUCAUCAUACAUGAAAAAACGUGUCAAUUUCCUUCUCGUGAUAGGUAAAAUAUAUGUAAAUUAAA